UGGUAUAAAGUGUUAAUCCUCCUCUAUUGAAAUCAAUGGGAUGCCUGCCACUGACUUCAAUAGGAGUAGGAUGACACUAUAUGAUG